UAAGUUCAACGGGGGAGCUAAGAGCUGAGAGGAUCCAUCAGGGAUCGACCCCUAGAACCUGAUUCGGAUAAUGCCGACGAAGGGAGCACAGAAUGAGUACUU
rfam:Acidobacteria bacterium 13_1_40CM_56_16 13_1_40cm_scaffold_386, whole genome shotgun sequence.